rnacentral:rRNA from 1 species
CCUACGGGAGGCAGCAGUGGGGAAUAUUGGGCAAUGGGCGCAAGCCUGACCCAGCAACGCCGCGUGAAGGAAGAAGGCUUUCGGGUUGUAAACUUCUUUUCUCAGGGACGAAGCAAGUGACGGUACCUGAGGAAUAAGCCACGGCUAACUACGUGCCAGCCGCCGUGGUAAUACGGAGGUGGCAAGCGUCAUCCGGAUUUACUGGGUGGAAAGGGCGUGUAGGCGGGAAAGAAAGUCAGAUGUGAAAACCAUGGGCUCAACGUGUGGACUGCAGUUGAAACUGGUUUUCUUGAGUGCUGGAGAGGCAGACGGAAUGCGUGGUGUAGCGGUGAAAUGCGUAGAUAUUAGGAGGAACACCGGUGGCGAAGGCGGUCUACUGGACAGCAACUGACGCUGAGGCGCGAAAGCGUGGGGAGCAAACAGGAUUAGAUACCCCUGUAGUC